GACGAACGCUGGCGGCGUGCUUAACACAUGCAAGUCGAACGAUGAAGCUGGAGCUUGCUCCGGUGGAUUAGUGGCGAACGGGUGAGUAACACGUGAGCAAUCUGCCCUUGACUCUGGGAUAACUGCGGGAAACUGUAGCUAAUACCGGAUACGACACCUUGGGGCAUCCCAGGGUGUGGAAAGAAUUUCGGUCAAGGAUGAGCUCGCGGCCUAUCAGCUAGUUGGUGAGGUAAUGGCUCACCAAGGCGACGACGGGUAGCCGGCCUGAGAGGGUGAGCGAGCACACGGGAAGUGAGACAGGGUUGAGACUCCUACGUGAGGCAGCAGUGGGGAAUGUUGCACAGUGGGCGAAAGCCUGAUGCAGCAACGCCGCGUGCGGGAUGAAGGCCUUCGGGGUGUACACCUCUUUUAGCAGGGAAGAAGCGAAAGUGACGGUACAUGCAGAAAAAGCACCGGCUAACAACGUGGCAGCCGCCGUGGUAA
rnacentral:rRNA from 1 species